ensembl:lncRNA
AUAAUACAGACAGCAAUGUAAGUUAGCAAUAAAACAGUUUUAUUGGGAAUUAACGUAAAAAACAAACAAACAUCUGUCUCCUAUUUUCUGUCACACAGGAAAGAAGCAUCAAUAUCUGAUGAGAAGACUUAUUUAUUUCUUUUUGGGGGGGGGGGGGGGGGGGUUUCAACAGGAGAAGAAUAUCUAACAAGUUGAUUUGUUCACAUCUUAAUUUUUAAGUGAAAUGUGCAUUUUGAGUUUAUACACUAUGUAUAUAAGGCGACCGUCCUUUUGCAGUAUUUUUGUGUGGUGUGUUUUUCUGUCUUAACAAAAGGGGAACAAAGGUAUUUAAGUUCACCUAGGAUGAUUUGUUUUAAUUUUCACAUGGUCUUACAGAGGUGAUGCGAAUUGAAACAUGACAUGCACUUUUUUUUUUUUUUUUGCUGGAAAAAAGCUUGAAAAUGGACCUUGAAAGUGCUUAAAAAGUACUUGAAUUUCACCCUGAAAAAGGUGUAUGAACCCUGAAUUAGGGAUGUUGUUUAUUUUUUUGCAAACUGAUACUUGGUGUGCAUCACACUUACUAGCUGGAAAUCUUACUGGCUUCAAAUGCUCUCUUGAGGGAUUUUAUUCUUUUCUGAGAAAACAGUCCAUUUGUUGUUUCCAUUCUUUGUCACUUUCCCCUUGAACAAGUUUCCAUAAAUAUUGGCAAGAUGGUCUUGAAGUUGUAGCUCUUCAUCAUGAUAUUUUUGCUGACCUUCUGAUUUUUACUGUGUGUGUGCCAAAAAUUUCCUUUAUAUUUCAUAAAUAUAUUUUAUAUUUUAUAUUUCAAAAUUUCAGGCUUUCAUAUUAACUGAGGUCAUGAGUGCAUGUUCUCUGAUUUGGAACCAACCAUAAAGAAGGGAUUUUUGCUCUCCCAAACUGCGAUUUGUUUCAGGGCCUUUGGAGCAUUUUGUGUCACAUCUUGGAAUCUAAUAAAAAACAAACAACCACCAGAAGUAUUCCUAAUGUGUAAAAUGUGUGUACUUG